GGGGAAUUUUCCGCAAUGGGCGAAAGCCUGACGGAGCAAUACCGCGUGAGGGAAGAAUGCCUAUGGGUUGUAAACCUCUUUUUUCAGGGAGGAAUAAAAUGACGUGUACCUGAAGAAUAAGCAUCGGCUAACUCCGUGCCAGCAGCCGCGGUAAGACGGAGGAUGCAAGUGUUAUCCGGAAUCACUGGGCGUAAAGCGUCUGUAGGUGGUUUAAUAAGUCAACUGUUAAAUCUUGAUGGCUCAACUUCAAAAUCGCAGUCGAAACUAUUAGACUAGAGUAUAGGAGAGGUAAAGGGAAUUUCCAGUGGAGCGGUGAAAUGCGUAGAGAUUGGAAAGAACACCGAUGGCGAAAGCACUUUACUAGGCUAUUACUAACACUCAGAGACGAAAGCUAGGGUAGCAAAUGGGAUUAGAUACCCCAGUAGUC
rnacentral:rRNA from 1 species